rnacentral:tRNA from 1 species
GAUAGCUCAGCUGGAAGAGCAUCAGAUUGUUAAUCUGACUGUCGAAGGUUCGAUCCCUUCUCCAUUGG